GACGAACGCUGGCGGCGUGCCUAAUACAUGCAAGUUGAGCGAUGAAGAUUGGUGCUUGCACCAAUUUGAAGAGCAGCGAACGGGUGAGUAACGCGUGGGGAAUCUGCCUUUGAGCGGGGGACAACAUUUGGAAACGAAUGCUAAUACCGCAUAACAACUUUAAACAUAAGUUUUAAGUUUGAAAGAUGCAAUUGCAUCACUCAAAGAUGAUCCCGCGUUGUAUUAGCUAGUUGGUGAGGUAAAGGCUCACCAAGGCGAUGAUACAUAGCCGACCUGAGAGGGUGAUCGGCCACAUUGGGACUGAGACACGGCCCAAACUCCUACGGGAGGCAGCAGUAGGGAAUCUUCGGCAAUGGACGAAAGUCUGAACGAGCAACGCCGCGUGAGUGAAGAAGGUUUUCGGAUCGUAAAACUCUGUUGGUAGAGAAGAAAGUUGGUGAGAGUGGAACGCUCAUCAAGUGACGGUAACUACACAGAAAGGGACGGCUAACUACGUG
rnacentral:rRNA from 1 species